AUUGAACGCUUGCGUCAGGCCUAACACAUGCAAGUCGAACGAGUGGCGGACGGGUGAGUAAUGUCUGGGAAACUGCCCGAUGGAGGGGGAUAACUACUGGAACCGGUAGCUAAUACCGCAUACCAUCGGAUGUGCCCAGCUGGGAUUAGCUAGUCGGUGGGGUAACGGCUCACCUAGGCGACGAUCCCUAGCUUGUCUGAGAGGAUGACCAGCCACACUGGAACUGAGACACGGUCCAGACUCCUACGGGUGGCAGCAGUGGGGAAUAUUGCACAAUGGGCGCAAGCCUGAUGCAGCCAUGCCGCGGGUAUGAAGAAGGCCUGCAGGUGGUAAAGUACUUUAAGCGAGGAGGCGUUACUCGCAGAAGAAGCACCGGCUAACCCCGUGCCAGCAGCCGCGGUAAUUC
rnacentral:rRNA from 1 species